CGGGGCGUGGCGCAGUUGGUAGCGCGCUUGCUUUGGGGGCAAGACGUCGCAGGUUCGAGUCCUGUCGCCCCGA
rnacentral:tRNA from 1 species